rnacentral:rRNA from 1 species
UGGCGGACGGGUGAGUAAUACACAAGAAUCUACCUAGCAAUGGGGAAUAGCUCGAGGAAACUCGAAUUAAUACCGCAUAUAUCCUACGGGAGAAAGUUGAGGACCUCGCAAGAGGCUUAAUGUUGUUAGAUGAGCUUGUGUCUGAUUAGCUUGUUGGUGGGGUAAAAGCCUACCAAGGCAACGAUCAGUAGCUGGUCUGAGAGGACGAUCAGCCACAUUGGGACUGAGACACGGCCCAAACUCCUACGGGAGGCAGCAGUGGGGAAUAUUGGACAAUGGGCGCAAGCCUGAUCCAGCAAUGCCGCGUGUGUGAAGAAGGUCUGCGGAUCGUAAAGCACUUUCAGCAAAGAAGAAAAAGCAACGCUAAUAUCGUUGAACUAUGACGUUAUUUGCAAAAGAAGCACCGGCUAAUUCCGUGCCAGCAGCCGCGGUAAU